rnacentral:rRNA from 1 species
AGCAGCCGCGGUAAUUCCAGCUCCAAUAGCGUAUAUUAAAGUUGUUGCAGUUAAAAAGCUCGUAGUUGAAUUUCGGGAUCAAAUUGUCGGUCGUGCCUCGGUACGUACUGGUAUUAUUGGUUCCUCCCUUCUGACGAACCACGAUGUCAUUAAUUUGGUGUCAUGGGAAAUCAGGACUGUUACUUUGAAAAAUUAGAGUGUUUAAAGCAGGCUCGCGCUUGAAUACAUUAGCAUGGAAUAAUGAAAUAGGACGUUUGAUUCUAUUUUGUUGGUUUCUAGGAUCGACGUAAUGAUUAAUAGGGAUAGUUGGGGCAUUAGUAUUCAAUUGUCAGAGGUGAAAUUCUUGGAUUUAUUGAAGACUAACUACUGCGAAAGCAUUUGCCAAGGAUGUUUUCAUUAAUCAAGAACGAAAGUUAGGGGAUCGAAGACGAUCAGAUACCGUCGUAGUCUUAACCAUAAACUAUGACCGACUAGGGAUCGGAUGAUGUUAAUUUUUAAUGUACU